rnacentral:rRNA from 1 species
UUUAUCCAUUUGGAUAUUAUGUCUGGCUAGACGACGCUGGCGGCGUGGAUAAGACAUGCAAGUCGAGCGAGAUUUUUUCCUGUAGCAAUACAGGGAAAAGUCUAGCGGCGAACGGGUGCUUAACACGUGGGCAACCUGCCGAGAAGUGGGGGAUAGCUCGCCGAAAGGCGAAUUAAUACCGCAUGUGAUUAGAGAGGACAUCCUUUCGAAAUUAAAGUCGGGGCAAUCUGACGCUUUUUGUGGGGCCCGCGGCCUAUCAGCUAGUUGGUGAGGUAACGGCUCACCAAGGCUUUGACGGGUAGCUGGUCUGAGAGGACGACCAGCCACACUGGGACUAAGACACGGCCCAGACACCUACGGGUGGCAGCAGUCGAGAAUUUUUCUCAAUGGGGGAAACCCUGAAGGAGCGACGCCGCGUGGAGGAUGAAGGUCUUCGGAUUGUAAACUUCUGUCAUUGGGGAACAAGGUGCAUACGUUAACUGCGUGUGCAUUGAUAGUACCCGAAGAGGAAGAGACGGCUAACUCUGUGCCAGCAGCCGCGGUAAUACAGAGGUCUCAAGCGUUGUUCGGAUUCAUUGGGCGUAAAGGGUGCGUAGGCGGCGCGGUAAGUCGGGUGUGAAAUCUUGGAGCUUAACUCCGAAACUGCAUUCGAUACUGCCGUGCUUGAGGACUGGAGAGGAGACUGGAAUUUACGGUGUAGCGGUGAAAUGCGUAGAUAUCGUAAGGAAGACCAGUGGCGAAAGCGGGUCUCUGGACAGUUCCUGACGCUGAGGCACGAAGGCCAGGGGAGCAAACGGGAUUAGAUACCCCGUAGUCCUGGCAGUAAACGUGCACGUUUGGUGUGGGAGAUCGACCCCUCUGCGCGGAGCUACGCGUUAACGUGCCGCCUGGGGAGUACGGUCGC